UACGGAGGGGGCAAGCGUUGUUCGGAAUUACUGGGCGUAAAGGGCUCGUAGGCGGCCAACUAAGUCAGACGUGAAAUCCCUCGGCUUAACCGGGGAACUGCGUCUGAUACUGGAUGGCUUGAGUUUGGGAGAGGGAUGCGGAAUUCCAGGUGUAGCGGUGAAAUGCGUAGAUAUCUGGAGGAACACCGGUGGCGAAGGCGGCAUCCUGGACCAACACUGACGCUGAGGAGCGAAAGCCAGGGGAGCAAACGGG
rnacentral:rRNA from 1 species